UACGUAGGGUGCGAGCGUUGUCCGGAAUUACUGGGCGUAAAGAGCUCGUAGGUGGUUUGUCGCGUUGUUCGUGAAAACUCACAGCUUAACUGUGGGCGUGCGGGCGAUACGGGCAGACUGGAGUACUGCAGAGGAGAGUGGAAUUCCUGGUGUAGCGGUGAAAUGCGCAGAUAUCAGGAGGAACACCCGUGGCGAAAGCGGCUCUCUGGGACGGUACUGACGCUGAGACGCGAAAGCGUGGGGAGCAAACAGG
rnacentral:rRNA from 1 species